rnacentral:rRNA from 1 species
GAUCAUGGCUCAGGAUGAACGCUGGCGGCGUGCUUAACACAUGCAAGUCGAACGGGAAUACUUUAAGCUUGCUAGUGUAAUCUAGUGGCGGACGGGUGAGUAACGCGUGGGCAACCUGCCUUAUACCGGGGGACAACAGUUGGAAACGGCUGCUAAUACCGCAUAAGCGCACAGUAUCGCAUGAUACAGUGUGAAAAACUCCGGUGGUAUAAGAUGGACCCGCGUCUGAUUAGCUAGUUGGCGGUGCAACGGACCACCAAGGCGACGAUCAGUAGCCGGCCUGAGAGGGUGAACGGCCACAUUGGGACUGAGACACGGCCCAAACUCCUACGGGAGGCAGCAGUGGGGAAUAUUGCACAAUGGAGGAAACUCUGAUGCCAGCGACGCCGCGUGAGUGAAGAAGUAUUUCGGUAUGUAAAGCUCUAUCAGCAGGAAAGAAAAUGACGGUACCUGACUAAGAAGCCCCGGCUAACUACGUGCCAGCAGCCGC